rnacentral:rRNA from 1 species
UACGGGGGGGGCAAGCGUUGUUCGGAAUUACUGGGCGUAAAGGGUUCGUAGGUGGCCAAUUAAGUCAGACGUGAAAUCCCUCAGCUUAACUGGGGAACUGCAUCCGAUACUGGAUGGCUUGAAUCCGGGAGAGGGAUGCAGAAUUCCAGGUGUAGCGGUGAAAUGCGUAGAUAUCUGGAGGAAUACCGGUGGCGAAGGCGGCAUCCUGGACCGGCAUUGACGCUGAGGAGCGAAAGCUAGGGGAGCAAACGGG